rnacentral:lncRNA from 1 species
CCGUCUUCCUCUACUUUAUAUGUGGGAUGCCUGCCACAGCAUGGCUUGCCAGGUGGUGCCGUGUCCACACCUUGAUCUGAACCGGUGAACCCUGGGCCGCCAAAGCGGAAUGUGUGCACUUAACCUCUGCGCCACCGGGCUGGCCCCUUAAUAAUAUUGAAGAGUAUGAAGGGGUCCUACAUAUAUAUAUGUCCAACUCUCCUUCUCUUUUCUCUCAUAAAGACACCAGCCAUUGGGUUUAGUCUUACCCUAAAUCCAGAAUGACUUCCUCUUGAGAUCCUUAAGUCAUUAUAUCUUCAAAAACCAUAUUUCCAAGCAAGAUCACAUUCUGAGUUUCCAGGGGAACAUGAACUUUGGGGGAACACUAUUCAACCCACUACGCCCCAAGGUUAAAGACAAUCUAACCAUGAAAUCUGUUCUCACCUUUCCUGUGGAAUGGGGCCUGUCCUGUUUAUGCAAAACUCUGUGUCAAAUAUCACGGACUUCGAGCUCCUGGGUUUAAUUGCAAUGACGCACUUGUCUGUUGUUUUAGUUCGUGACUAAACAUAACACAGUCUUCCACUCAGUAUAAAGGGGUGCUGGUCUGAGGCUACCUCGGCCAGACUCCCAGGACGUCCAGGCCCUGCACAGUCCCUGCCUCCAGCUCCAUGGCCAGUGUCCUGGUCCUCCUUGUAGGCUUCUGCCUCCUGUUUUCCCCAUUCUCCGAGAGAAUUCAGGUCUACUGCAAGAGCCAGGAGGAGCCGGGCUUGGUGCUGGUGGUCAGAUUCCAGCGAUGGCGGGUCUGUGGGCUGGUGGCCCUUGACACCAGCGACUCUGACUUGAGCUGCUGUGGGUCGCACCUGGUCUUUCACAGACCCACCCAGCGGUGCUGCUCUGUGGCAAAAAGCUUCUUUGUCAUCCACAAGGACCCAGAGAAGACUGAGGCCGAGGACUGCCAGAGCUACAUCGGGCAGGACCACAGGUCACCAUGAAGAGCUUAGACCCAGAGGAGUAGGGCUGCUGCUCUCUCAGGCUUUGGUCCACCAAAAGCCCAUCUCUGCUUCUCCUUGGGCAUGUGACUGUCUGGCUGAAGACUACAUUUCCCAGCCUCCUUUGAAGCUGGCUAUGGACAUGCGACUGGCUCUUCCCCAAUGUCAAGCAAGCAGAAACUCUCUCUCAUACUGUUUCAGCUGGUUUGAUUUGGAUUUCUGUUGCUUGCAACUGAGAAUACCCUGAUCAAUGUAGGUUACACUUACUGAUUGCAUAUGAUUCAUUUAUUGAAAAUUCCCUGCCGAGUGCUUUCAUAGACUCUGAAGAUACAGCAGUGAAUGAAACAGGUGAAGGUCCCUGUCUUUUUGGAGUUUCUGAUCUUUGUGCAAGAUGGUGAACUAUUAGGUGCUUUAAGGGUGAAAUAUCAAAUUCUCAUAGCAACUCUGAGAAGUGGGCAUUAUUUUGAAGCCCCACUUUAAAGAUGAGGACAUUGAGGCUGCAAUAACAAAGCUGGGGUUUGAACACAGGUCUGUGUGAGCCCAAAGGUGGAACUCUUGACCACCAGGCCAUGCAGAAUCAAGGAGCCCCAAUGCAGAAGACACAUUCUUUUCAAAUGCACAUGGAACAUUCUCCCGGAUUGAUCACAUAUUAAGCAAAACAAGUCUCAAUAAACGUAAGAAGAUCGAAAUCA